rnacentral:tRNA from 1 species
GCUCACGUAGCUCAGUAGGUAGAGCACCCCCUUGGUAAGGGGGAGGUCGGAGGUUCAAAUCCUCUCGUGAGCACCA